UACAGAGGGUGCAAGCGUUAAUCGGAAUUACUGGGCGUAAAGCGCGCGUAGGUGGAUAUUUAAGUCGGAUGUGAAAUCCCUGGGCUCAACCUAGGAACGGCAUUCGAAACUGGGUAUCUAGAGUAUAGUAGAGGAAAACGGAAUUCCCGGUGUAGCGGUGAAAUGCGUAGAUAUCGGGAGGAACAUCAAUGGCGAAGGCGGUUUUCUGGACUAAUACUGACAUUGAGGCACGAAAGCGUGGGGAGCAAACAGG
rnacentral:rRNA from 1 species